AUUAGCUUGUUGGUGGGGUAAAGGCCUACCAAGGCUACGAUCUAUAGCUGAUUUGAGAGGAUGAUCAGCCACAUUGGGACUGAGACACGGCCCAAACUCCUACGGGAGGCAGCAGUGGGGAAUAUUGGACAAUGGGCGAAAGCCUGAUCCAGCAAUGUCAUGUGUGUGAAGAAGGCUCUAGGGUUGUAAAGCACUUUAGUUGGGGAGGAAAGCUUAUGAGUUAAUAGCUUGUAAGAAGGACGUUACCCAAAGAAUAAGGACCGGCUAACUCCGUGCCAGCAGCCGCGGUAAUACGGGGGGUCCGAGCGUUAAUCGGAAUUACUGGGCGUAAAGGGUCUGUAGGUGGUUUGUUAAGUCAGAUGUGAAAGCCCAGGGCUCAACCUUGGAACUGCAUUUGAUACUGGCAAACUAGAGUAUAGUAGAGGAAUGGGGAAUUUCUGGUGUAGCGGUGAAAUGCGUAGAGAUCAGAAGGAACACCAAUGGCGAAGGCAACAUUCUGGACUAAUACUGACACUGAGGGACGAAAGCGUGGGGAUCAAACAGGAUUAGAUACCCUGGUAGUCCACGCUGUAAACGAUGAGUACUAGCUGUUGGAGUCGGUGUAAAGGCUCUAGUGGCGUAGCUAACGCGUUAAGUACUCCGCCUGGGGACUACGGCCGCAAGGCUAAAACUCAAAGGAAUUGACGGGGACCCGCACAAGCGGUGGAGCAUGUGGUUUAAUUCGAUGCAACGCGAAGAACCUUACCUGGUCUUGACAUCCUGCGAACUUUCUAGAGAUAGAUUGGUGCCUUCGGGAACGCAGUGACAGGUGCUGCACGGCUGUCGUCAGCUCGUGUUGUGAAAUGUUGGGUUAAGUCCCGCAACGAGCGCAACCCCUAUUGAUAGUUACCAUCAUUAAGUUGGGUACUCUAUUGAGACUGCCGCUGACAAGGCGGAGGAAGGUGGGGACGACGUCAAGUCAUCAUGGCCCUUACGACCA
rnacentral:rRNA from 1 species